GUGCUGAUGAAGAGUCCCAGACUAGGACGAAACAGUUGUCCAGUAC
rfam:Trichobilharzia regenti genome assembly, scaffold: TRE_scaffold0016958